rnacentral:tRNA from 1 species
CAUAUUAAAGUUUAUUUUUGAAUUUUUCUUUUACACUGAAAAGGCCUCUUUGAGUAAUAUGAUAAUUAUGUUUUGG